rnacentral:rRNA from 1 species
CCUACGGGUGGCAGCAGUGAGGAAUAUUGGUCAAUGGGCGCGAGCCUGAACCAGCCAAGUCGCGUGAGGGAAGACGGUCCUAUGGAGUGUAAACCUCUUUUGUCGGGGAGCAAAAGACGCCACUCGUGGCGUUCCGAGAGUCCCCGAAGAUAAAGCAUCGGCUAACUCCGUGCCAGCAGCCGCGGUAAUACGGAGGAUGCGAGCGUUAUCCGGAUUUAUUGGGUUUAAAGGGUGCGCAGGCGGAAGAUCAAGUCAGCGGUAAAAUUGAGAGGCUCAACCUCUUAGAGCCGUUGAAACUGGUUUUCUGGAGUGAGUGAGAAGUAUGAGGAAUGCGUGGUGUAGCGGUGAAAUGCAUAGAUAUCACGCAGAACUCCGAUUGCGAAGGCAGCAUACCGGCGCUCAACUGACGCUCAUGCACGAAAGUGUGGGUAUCGAACAGGAUUAGAUACCCGGGUAGUC